rnacentral:misc_RNA from 1 species
AGAGCAAGAGUAGAGAGGGGUAUUAAAGUGUAAUCGUAGAAUUAUUAAAACUUGAAAGGGGCUAUGAAGGAUUUGUGAUGUGAGAGACUGAAGAUUUUUUACCGAAGAGAAAGACUAAAAAUGAGUGAUAAUGAACGUUUAUAAAUAAAAAGAAUAUGGUAUAAUUGAAAUUUUAUAAAUCGUGUAAGUAUAAAAUUAGAAUGCAAAAA